AUAUCCAUUAUGGAAAAUUCAACAUUAAUAUUAUAAUAUUUAUUUAUAAAUAUUAUGAAAAUAGUGUGCAAUUUUUCCAUAUAAGGACAUUGUAAUCUGUUAAUGUAAUAAAUAAUUUAUCAUAAGAUUCAAUAAUAAAAAGUUUAUUCAAAUUAGUUAUUUUCGAAUUUCUAACAUAGAAUAAAUUUAUUGAAUUUGAUAAAUCAUUGACAGAUUUAUUUAUAUAUAAUGCUAAAAUUCUUAAUUGAAUUUUACAAUAAUUAUUAAUUUUAUUAAUUUUUUAUUGUAUGCAUUUAUAUGAUUAACAAUGCUAUAGAUUCAGGAUACCUUCGGGACCCGUCUUGAAACACGGACCAAGGAGUCUAACAUAUGUGCAAGUCAUUGGGUAUUUUUAAUAAAACCCAAUGGCGUAAUUAACUUAACUGUAAUGGGAUUAGUUUAUAUUUUAUAAUGAAAUAUUAAUUCAAUCCCGGGGCGUUCUAUAUAGUUAUGUAUAAUAAUAUUUAUAUUAUUUAUACCUCUAACUAGAGCGUACCUUCAGCAUAUAUGCUGUGACC
rnacentral:rRNA from 1 species